rnacentral:pre_miRNA from 7 species
AUCUCAUACUAAAAGACCCCCGAAGGGAGACCCUCACUCAAGCCUCGGGACAGCCGCGGACCCAAGAAGACACUGAGACCG